ACGACGUGUGGAACGGGCGAUGUCAUUGUCGUUUUGCAUUAAUAAAAUUGUGUUUUAGUCGAUUUUAGUGAACGACUAACGGGGUAAACAAUCGCUUAGUUUCGCAAAUUUAGUUGGUAUACUGGUUGUAGUCAUUAUCAUCCUGGAUUUGUGUUUUAAAAGGAAAAUCGUCACAAAGGAUCGCAGAGAAAAUUACGUAUUGAUUAGAUGUUCUAUUUAAAUUGGAAGAUGUCCACUAGAUGCCUAGAAUCAACCGUCAGCAGGAGUCGAAUUGAUGCGGUGCAAGUCCAGAUUCCUGAAUUGGAUUUCAUAUGCUUUCUGUUCUUCUUUUUUUGGAACAGUCAUAUAAGAAGGAAGAAGAUGUGAACACAAUGUGGUUUCGAUACAUCCUGUACUACGAAGAGGCUUAGAGGAAUUCUGGGGUUGGUCACGGAUCAAAUUUUCUGGAAAUGAUGUUACGUAUUCAAGUAAACCAUUGCACCGAAACCGUUUUUCACAAAUCUACUGCAGAAAAAAGGACCACCAUUGAAGCAUACGAUAAUUUUUUUAAAAAUGCAUAUACAAAAGGGAUUUAUUGAAAAAA